rnacentral:rRNA from 1 species
AUUGAACGCUGGCGGCAGGCUUAACACAUGCAAGUCGAGCGAGCGGCGGACGGGUGAGUAAUGUCUGGGACACUGCUUUAUGGCUGGGGAUACCUCCUGGAACCGGUACCUAAUCCCGCAUACCAUCCGAUGUGCCCAGAUGGGAUUAGCCAGUAGGUGGGGUAAUGGCUCACCUAGGCCCCGAUCCAUGGCUGGGCUGCGAGGGUGACCAGCCACACUGGAACUGAGACACGGUCCAGACUCCUACGGGAGGCAGCAGUGGGGAAUAUUGCACAAUGGGCGAAAGCCUGAUGGAGCCAUGCCGCGUGUGUGAAGAAGGUCUUCGGGUUGUAAAGCACUGUCAGCGAGGAGGCGUUACUCGCAGAAGAAGCACCGGCUAACUACGUGCCAGCAGCCGCGGUAAUAC